rnacentral:rRNA from 1 species
AUGGUUGGAUAGAGGCCUACCAUGGUGGUAACGGGUAACGGGGUGUUAGGGCACGACACCGGAGAGGGAGCCUGAGAAACGGCUACCACAUCCAAGGAAGGCAGCAGGCGCGCAAAUUACCCAAUCCCGACACGGGGAGGUAGUGACAAUAAAUAACAAUACAGGGUUCUUUGAAUCUUGUAAUUGGAAUGAGUACAAUUUAAAUCUCUUAACGAGGAACAAUUGGAGGGCAAGUCUGGUGCCAGCAGCCGCGGUAAUUCCAGCUCCAAUAGCGUAUAUUAAAGUUGUUGCAGUUAAAAAGCUUGUAGUUGAAUUUCGGGAUCAAUACGUCGGUCGUGCUUUNGGGUACGUACCGGCGUCAUUGGUUUCUCCUUUCUGACGAACCAUGAUGUCAUUAAUUUGGUGUUAUGGGGAGUUAGGACUGUUACUUUGAAAAAAUUAGAGUGUUUAAAGCAGGCAUUAGCUUGAAUACAUUAGCAUGGAAUAAUGAAAUAGGACGUUCGAUCCUAUUUUGUUGGUUUCUAGGAUCAACGUAAUGAUUAAUAGGGAUAGUUGGGGGCAUUAGUAUUCAAUUGUCAGAGGUGAAAUUCUUGGAUUUAUUGAAGACUAACUACUGCGAAAGCAUUUGCCAAGGAUGUUUUCAUUAAUCAAGAACGAAAGUUAGGGGAUCGAAGACGAUCAGAUACCGUCGUAGUCUUAACCAUAAACUAUGCCGACUAGGGAUCGGAUGAUGUUAAUUUUUUAAUGACUCAUUCGGCGCCUUACGGGAAACCAAAGUGUUUGGG